rnacentral:rRNA from 1 species
AUUGAACGCUAGCGGCAUGCCUUACACAUGCAAGUCGAACGGAGUGGCGAACGGGUGCGUAAUGUAUCGGAACGUGCCCAGUAGCGGGGGAUAACUACGCGCAAGCGUAGCUAAUACCGCAUACUAUUGGCGCGGCCGAUACCGGAUUAGCUAGUGGGUGGGGUAACGGCACACCAAGGCGACGAUCCGUAGCUGGUUUGAGAGGACGACCAGCCACACUGGGACUGAGACACGGCCCAGACUCCUACGGGAGGCAGCAGUGGGGAAGUUUGGACAAUGGGGGAAACCCUGAUCCAGCCAUCCCGCGUGUGCGAAGAAGGCCUUCGGGUUGUAAAGCACUUUUGGCAGGAAGGCGGUACCUGCAGAAUAAGCACCGGCUAACUACGUGCCAGCCGCCGCGGUAAGAC